UACGUAGGGGGCAAGCGUUGUCCGGAAUCAUUGGGCGUAAAGCGCGUGUAGGCGGUUCGGUAAGUCGGCUGUGAAAGUCCAGGGCUCAACCCUGGGAUGCCGGUCGAUACUGCCGGACUAGAGUUCGGAAGAGGCGAGUGGAAUUCCCGGUGUAGCGGUGAAAUGCGCAGAUAUCAGGAGGAACACCAACGGCGAAGGCAGCUCGCUGGGACGGUACUGACACUGAGGCGCGAAAGCGUGGGGAGCGAACAGG
rnacentral:rRNA from 1 species